GAAGCUCAACGUCUUGAUAUGAAUUAUUCAUUUCUCAAAGGAAAACUGAAGUGCAUAUCCAAGGCUGAAGCUUCUUUAAUCCAAUUUUUGUAUACAAAGUCAUGUUGUGUUUUUGUCUAUAGUAUCUUGGAUUAAUUGCUUUGUUUUCAACUCUAUCUGUAACUAUAAAAGUUUCCUGAUCAUAAAGAUUUUAUUUUUAUUACUUUCCCAUUAAAUGGAGUUUCAAUGGGCAUGGAUACCCAGUAACAGCAGCCCUCCUCUCCAAAUCCAUCUCAUCCAAAUCAAUAAAACAACUCUCCUCUUAUUCAUAAAUUUCAUUAACCCUUCCCUUUAAUUCAAGAAGCAUCAACGGUUUGCUAAUGUUAGCGUUAUAGUAUAGCUUGAAUUUUGAAUAAAAUUUAAGACUCCAAUUGUGAUUCAAAUCGAAUAUUUAUAAUAGGCUAAAGGCCCAUGUAGAAAUGGGUAGGCGUAAUUAAAAAUUCUGGUUUCAUCGAUUAGCUAGCCAACCGCCUCUUUUGAACUCUGGAAAACUCUGGAGCACCUGAAUUGUGAUUGGCAAUGUCACAGUGUGAGUGACAAUGAGAGUGAUGACGAUGAAUCGGCGAUCGUUCCGAAACCCUAAACGAAAAAGGAGUUAUAGCCUUUUAUUGAUAGAGAUUUGAAGGACAUCAAAGUCUCCAAACUUAUAAGCUGGUAGGACAUGAAAGUUUCAGAGAAUAAGGUACUCUCUCUCCAUUUCCCUCCAUGGGUUUUCAUCUUUAUUGAGUUUAAUGUGUUAUUUACAUAUGGAGAUGGUUGAAUCCAUAGGCUAUUUGAUUUGAUGGUUCCUGAUGAAUAAUCCCUCCUGCUAGAACCAAAAGGUUUUGUGAUUAGCUAUUAGAAUCAGUAAGAAUGUAACUAAUCCAUUUCUUGCCUCCUCCGUUUAUCUCUUCUUUGGCCGAUUCAAAAUUAACGACAAAUUCAAUAAAUCAAAAUCAAUACAAAUCAAUGAAGAUGAUCAUAAUUAGUGGGAAAUUGUGGUCGGACCUUCCACGGGAUAGAACUUGUGUUUUCAAUAGUGAUAGAUCAAGUGGUAGGUUCUCCGUUCGGGAGUUUGAGGUGCAGCUGUUGGCGGUGUGUAGAUCGACGGACCACGGAUGAAAUAUGUUGAGGAAGAGGGAUAGGGUAGUGGAGCAAGAGAGCUAGUGGUUUUCUCGAGGCCAGAAAAGCCAUCAGUGGGGUGAGGCAGGGCCAUAAAUUAUUGAUUUCAGAUAUAAAGAUAAAUUAUCUAUUAAGAGAAAAAAAAUAAUAUGUUCAAAUUUUCAAUUAUAAUAAUAAUAGAGUAAAAAAAUAUUUAUGACAUAAUAAAUUCUCACAAUAAAUGUCUUUAAUUUUAAAUAUUAUUAUAAGAAAUUUUAAUAGUAUUAUAAUUUUACAUCUUAUAGUAUUAUAUCUAUGAAAACAUUUCUAACAGUAUAAUAAUAUUAAGGGAAAAUUAUUAUAGAGUUUCUAAAUUUUAAUAAAAUUUAUUAGUUAGUUUUUAUAAUUUUUAGUUUUAACUAAAAUAUUUUUUAUAUUUUUAAAAUAUAAUAAUUACAUUCUUUUGUUAAUAAUUAUGAUAGUCAAAAGAAAAUUUAACAGUUAAAUGUGCGAGAAUAUUUAGAAAUUACAAAAUUAAUCUUAACAUUCUUGGAAAUUUGCUCUUGAUAUCCACAUUAAUUUCUCAAUCAAAACCAAAUUAAUUAUAUGAAAAACAUAUUCAUUCAUCCAUCAAAUCCAUAUUCAUUCUACAAAAUUAAUAUAAUUCAUCCAUCAAAUCCAGAUUCAUUCUACAAAAUCAAUAUAAUUCAUCCAUCAAAAUUAAAUUUAUUCAAGAAAAUUAAUAUCACUUAUUUAUCAAAUUCAGAAGUCAACAUCUUCAAGAAAUCUAAGUUCUGGUACGAUGAAUAGAAGAAAUAAAUUGCAACAGAGUGAAAAAGUUGUCUAACAAAUACUCUCGCAUCUUCAACAAAUUCAUCUUCCCCUUUCAUUGUCGACGUCGUUAUCCAUAAAAUGAAUAACAAAAGGACUCAAAUCCAGAAUCGCAGCUCACUCUCGAAUUUCAAUAUCCUCAUCGUUGCCGUGUUUGUUGACUUCAAAAUUGUAGCGUUCGUCGAUCCCAGCAUCGCAACGUCUUCCGAUCGGAAUGAGAGGACUAGGAAGAUAAUUUGUUUUAGAUUAAAUGAGAGGAUCAAAAAAGAAAGAGGGAGAAGGGGAGAUUAGUUUCUGCAUUUAGAGAUUAGAUUAGAGUAUUUAAAACUUUUUACAUAAGAGAUAUUUUAAUUAAAGUUAAAAGUUAUAAGGAUUAACUAAUAAUUCAAGAAUUUUAUAAUAAUUUUUUUUAAUAUUAUAUAAAAAUUAAAAUAUAAAAUAUUUUUACAUAUCUCUAUAUCGUUUAUUAGAUUAAAAGUGAAAUUUAUAAAUGAAAUAUAUAGCUAAAAUUUAUUAAAAUUUGAACUUUUAUUUAUAUUAUUUCAAAUUUUAUUAAUUUCAAUGCAAUUAAUUUAGUAUAAUAAUUAGACAUAUUUUAUAUAUUAUUAUAUAUUUCAAAAAAAAAAUUAUAAAGUUUAGUGGGUCGAUUCCACUCCACUGGAGAAAUUAUAGAAUGAAUCAUUGUCUAUAUAAAUAAAAACUAGACGACUAUAUAAAAAUAAAAAAAAAAAUAAUUAUUUUUAUGAUGUAAGCAUCUUGCCGCUAUUCGACAACAGAGGGGGAGAGAGAGGGCUUCCUGAGAUAAUGAGGUGAGGGAGGGGCUGGAGAGGAGGGAUAUGGACAGAGACAGGGGAGGGUUGCAUUUGUAACGAGUGUGUUUUAAUCUUUUUCAUAUUGAUGGAGAAUGAUCAUAUAGUUGCUAGAAUAAUCCUCAAUAUAAUUUUCAAAAUAUAAAGAACGACUAGUAAUAAUAAAAAUAAUACCUGAAAACUAAAUUGUUCCAGCGAUUAAAGCAAAUAGAGGGGGCUUCUCUUACAAUAUUUACUCAAAUUUGAUUAUGCUUAUCAUCUAAAAGAAAUGAUUAACAGUAAUGACAGCUGCCAAAGAUAUGAAGUUUAUAAUUCACUUGUCAAUUUUACUUAAAAGUCUAAGGAAAGCAAUAAAGAGAACUGAUAUUGGCUACAUGCUUUCAGGUCUUUGGGAAUUCUUUGCUUUUAAGCUGAACUGGAAUGCAUUUGGCUACAAAACCAAUUGGCCAAGACACAGCUGCAAUGGCAAUGCAAACACCCCAUUGCCCCCAAUUUAGCCUCUCGGUCCCUGCAAAUCUCCUCAGAAGCUCAACCAUCAGCACUUGAAGAACAAUGGUAAUUCCAAUGAUCGCUAAGAACAAUUUGUUCUUAUGUAUUCCUCUGAAUAUAUUCUUCUUUUCCAUGUUCCUUGCAUUGAACUCAUUAAAGACUUGACACAGGACAAAAGUAUUGAAGACGAUAGUAUUCUUUACCUUCUCAUUCACACCAAAGAUGGAUUUUGCUUUGAAUUCUAGAAUAAGCAAGACAGCAACCUGAUACAACGCUUGGGCAAUGAGAUUCCUCCACAUGAUUUUGGUGAU
rnacentral:lncRNA from 1 species